GAGGGCUGGGUGGUGAAACUUGACUGUGAAGGAGCUUGAGUGUGAGACCUUAGACUGCUUCCCUUAGAUUGUCAUGUGGGUAUACACAUCCCUAUAUGUCUAUUCUGCAUUGGAUCCAAUAUAAUUUGAAUUAAUUUGAUCAAACAAAACUCUUUCUUCUAAAGUCAUUGAAGUCCAGUGUCAAGAAAAAAGCCAGGAUGACUAGAGAUGGCUAAGGAUGCAGUGGAUGAUCUUGGCUUCUUUGAUGUGUAACCAAGUCUUCAUAUGCUUGUAGCAGAACUAGCUCACUGAAGGACUUGAGUAUUGUUGGUUAACCUCAACCUGGUUUAUCCUGUCUUCUGAAAUGUUUUUUACUGGGAUGUGGCCACUACAAGAUGCUACUGCUUCUUCAACCCACAGGACAUGAGUGAUCUAAGAUAUCAGAUGCAGAAGAGGGACCUAGACAUGGUUCUAGAUCCAAAGGAACACGGAACAUAGAACAUUUUCAACAGGAAGCACCCAGGGUACAAGUGAUAUUCUUCCAUUGAACCUGGAAACCAUGGUGACUAGGGAGCCACAGUUGCAGAUACAGUCAGCCAAACUGGUAUAGAAGCCCAGAGAAGCCAGUGUGCCUGGAAUUUGAGCCCAAGACAAGUUUUGGUGUUGGAACUGGAAUUGUAAUUACAUAAGUGAGAUAAAUUAUAAACCUAAUCCAUUCCACAGAGAUUGAGGUGGUGUCAUGGUAGAGGAUGAUUAAUUUGUUCAUGUUGGGGAGUUAAUUUGUUUAUUUGUGAUUAUACCUUUGAAGUAAAUAAUUCUUUGUAAAAUGAAAUUUAACUAUUCAAGAUUCAAUGAUACUGGGGUGCUAGAGACCACCCUAUACUUUGAGGGUAAACUAUCAAUGGGAGCUGGAACUGCUGGCAGAAAGCCUAGAUAUUUCAAAACCCUUGUGGGUACCAAAAAGUAUCUGAGAAAGGGGUGAUAUAUAACACAAUUGUUUUAAAGCAGGGGUUGUCAGGGUAGCAAACAUUGCAUAAAAUUUUUUUUUUGCUCUCUAUAGAGAGCUCAUUUAAAGAUACAGCUAUCAAUCUGAAAGAAUUUCUUCAAAUCCCUUUGCUCCAACUCAUCCUUUCCUUUCCUCUUCUCCCAACAUUGCCUGGGGCUUGGUUCUAAGGAGGAUGUGUAAACAGAACCAGGGAUAUGUCAAGAAGAGGUAUUGGCAGUCACAAUUCCCUAAACAUUUUUAUUUCAGUUCCAUAACCCAUUCUGUUCAAACCAAUAUCAUUCUGACUGAUUAAAAUUAAAUCAAUAGUUCAGCCUAUCUUAUAUCUAUAUUAAGAAAAUAGUAUCCCUUUUUGCAUGCAUUGAUGUAUCAUUUCCCCAGAUGUGUCCCUGUUUUCUCCACAGUAAUGGUAGAAGAGAUGGAAAUGGUAGAAUGGUUAAAUGCACAGUAUUUCAAGAUUGAAUGCAUUAGUCAUAUAAAUGAAAAAAAAAGUUACAGAUAAGGAAACACGGAAAUCCAUGAAUACAA